UGGGGAAUAUUGCACAAUGGGCGCAAGCCUGAUGCAGCCAUGCCGCGUGUGUGAAGAAGGCCUUCGGGUUGUAAAGCACUUUCAGCGGGGAGGAAGGCGGUGAGGUUAAUAACCUCAUCGAUUGACGUUACCCGCAGAAGAAGCACCGGCUAACUCCGUGCCAGCAGCCGCGGUAAUACGGAGGGUGCAAGCGUUAAUCGGAAUUACUGGGCGUAAAGCGCACGCAGGCGGUCUGUCAAGUCGGAUGUGAAAUCCCCGGGCUCAACCUUGGAACUGCAUUCGAAACUGGCAGGCUAGAGUCUUGUAGAGGGGGGUAGAAUUCCAGGUGUAGCGGUGAAAUGCGUAGAGAUCUGGAGGAAUACCGGUGGCGAAGGCGGCCCCCUGGACAAAGACUGACGCUCAGGUGCGAAAGCGUGGGGAGCAAACAGG
rnacentral:rRNA from 1 species